AUUAUACUCCCUCCGUUCGGAAUUAUUUGUCUCGGAUAUGGAUGUAUCUAAAACUAAAAUACAUCUACAUACAUCCAUUUGUGCGACAAGUAAUUCCGAACGAAGGGAGUAGGAU
rnacentral:pre_miRNA from 1 species